CCAGCAGCCGCGGUAAUUCCAGCUCCAAUAGCGUAUAUUAAAGUUGUUGCAGUUAAAAAGCUCGUAGUUGGAUUUCUGGCGGGAGUGACCGUGUCGGGCUUGACUGUCCGUUCAACGUGUUGCAUCCAGCCAUCCUCGCGGAGAACGUUUGUAUCAUUGAUUUGGUAGAUUCAGUAUCCGCGUCGUUUACUGUGAAAAAAUUAGAGUGUUUAAAGCAGGCAAUAUGCUUGAAUACAUUAGCAUGGAAUAAUAAGAUAGGACUUUGGUACUAUUUUGUUGGUUUGCAUACCAAAGUAAUGAUUAAUAGGAACAGUUGUGGAUAUUCGUAUGAGCAUGUCAGAGGUGAAAUUCUUGGAUUUUGAUCAGACGAACUACUGCGAAAGCAUUU
rnacentral:rRNA from 1 species